UCAUUUCAGGGUAUGACUGAUCUAACAGAUUGAUAUUGUGAAACAUACGUUGUGCCAUAUGGUCCUUUUUUCCCCAAAGUAACAGACAUUACACUACAGUUAUGUUUAAUGGUUCUUACAGGACAUAAUAAGACAUCUUGUAACAGUAACAAAUAACAAAUCACCACUUUCAGCCAUUUCUUUGUGAGUUGGGGAUGAAUGUUGUGGCAGUGUGCGUGUUUUAUCUCUGCAAUGCUUUGCUGGGGUUGGAGUGGGGUCCCAGGAGUCAUUAGGCAGUGAAUGUAUGCUUGAUGACCUUGUAUGUCUUAUUUAACCCACCCUAACCUAGCAGCCCAGUGACUGCAGGGUGAAGGUGCUGACGGGUCUUCUAAAAGUUUGUGAUUAAAUCAAAUUAGAGACUAUGCAUGUCUAGAUUUACUCUGAAGUAUCACAGACAUCAGACACUGCAUCUUUAAAAAGCAGCUUCCAAACUAAGAAUUAAGUUUCUACAAAACCCUCUCAGAUCUCGCUGACACAUGGAGACAGAGCGGUUUUCUUCAUUUGUUAUCCACAGCAGGCAGGGUGCUGAGCCCCGUUCACAGGGUGGACCCGGUGUUCUGACAAAACAUCCUACCUAUCAAGCUGUCCUACUUGUUGUUACUGCGCAUGCGCACAAUUCAAAACGGCCAUAUUUCCGGUUUAAAUAGUACACGCCUAUUAUUUCAUCCUACCCCAAUCUUGUGCCGAUCUCGUUGCUUCGAAAAAAGGUUUGUAUUAAAAGUUUUACUUCUUUAUUACAGAUGAUAAUUGUUUACCUUAAGCUGCUCAAUCGAAGUCAUAUUCCAAGUGUUUAUUUGGUGCUUUUAAAAUUUAUUUUAGUCCUCCUGCAGUUACUGGACACCACUCGCUGUUGUUAUGUUGAAUAAACGCUCCGUUGAAGAAAGUACUUUUGCACCACAUACUUGUUAAUUGCGUGAUAAUGUUGUGUAGUCGUUUUAUUUACUGUAUGGAUUCCGAAGCCAUGUUGAAAUUGUCCGAUUUUCUCCUUAGUUAUGGAGAACAAAUACGAGGAACUGCUCAUGUUUCUGUCUGUUGGGUCCUACCCAACUUUUUCUUUAGAUUGUCAACAUUUCUGCACAGAAAAUACUGCUCACAGACCCCAUGGGCAAUGAAGGUGUUUAUGACAGGAAGAUUCUGCGCAACUGGAGGAAUUUUCUGAGGAUGAGAGAAGACACCAUGGAGUGGCAGUUACACACUAUGCAACACAACAAGCAACAGGAUUCCAGCAGUUGCGGAGUUUUGCUGUUAAAGUUUGCAGAACAGUACCUUGCUUUUGGAGAGGUCAGUGAGGUGUUAACCACUACAGAAGCAGUUGUGCUGGAGCGAAUGCAGAUAGCUUGCACCCUACUUGAACAUCGAGGGAACGCUGAGGACUACUGCACUGUUUGCUCUAUGUUAGAUGCUGACGCUGACCGCAGCAUGAUUGAAAUG